GUAUCCUACAAUAUAUAUAUAUAUAUAUAUAUAUAUGUCACUUUGUUAACGUUAUUGUUUGGCACUAAGUGCUUGACUGAACAAGCACUGAUUAGCAAUACAAAUGGUAAAUUAUUAUUUAUGAUAGCCUUUGAAAGAUUUGGUUAUGAUAAACUUUAUUUUUGUCUGUUUUGGAGGAAAUAAUCAUUGACAUUGACAGCCUGAAGCUCAUCUUGUCAUAAUAGCUUGUGGCUUUGCUUUGGAGGAAUUUCACCUGAAGAUGGUGGGGAGGGCUAUGCAACAUACAUUUGCAGUUUCAUCAUCUUCAGUUUCUUGCAGUGAUACUGAUAAGGUGAAGCUGCGAAACAAAAAUUUGGACGAGAAAUCUGUAUGUUUGAAACCCCAAAUGCUUCUCUAACACCCAGCAAUGUGUCUAGCAGUGGUAUGACCACUAAACCAUUUAUGCCAUUAUUGUUCAUCAUUACCUAUGGAGUACUCUAAUAAUGUGGAAUAUGUAUUGGAGUACCCUCUUCAAAUGCAUGAUUCACUUUGGUUAGCAGAGGAGCCAGAUGACUUCUAUGAGUUAGUUUUGUGAGGAAGAUGAUAAAUGUGUAUGAGUACCAUUUAUGUAAGAACUGAAAACUUUGUCCUAUUUAUACCAAUUCAAAUGCAUAUUGGAACCUUUAUGGAAAUCGAGGGAUGAGACUUAGCAUAUCAGUUCACUUAUAAUGGGGUCGUUAAAUGGAACUGCAAAUUGCUAUAAGUGUUGGUCGCUGUACUAUGUAGGAUCUCUAUAUAUCUAUAUUCCCAUAUAUGUAAUUCAAAGGUUUAGAUUGUCUUGAUUUCAAUCUUUGCUAUCACUGCUUGAGUGUCUCUAUCUCUCACGCUUUUAUUUAUUUGUAUUUUACUUUUCUUGCUCUAUGUUUUAAUUUAAAUGAUCACUGUUCCCUUUGAGUUGUCUAAUUGUACAGGGUAGCUGUCAUAACUUUGUAGUUCCAUCUAGUGCAUCUCUGUCAGCGAGACAUGGGCCGUCUUCUACAGAUGCCGCAUUGCUCCCUUUACUGAGGUCUUUCAAUAAUGAUUCAUCAAAAAGAGACAUAGGCAUGUCAUUAGAACAUUGUGCUGAGGAAUCUAGUUGAAGAUGUGAACUUGUGAAAAACUGUGCUUAGCCUUCUGACCAGAAAACACUGAAUUUCUCGAUGUAGUUGCUUGUUCUAAUCUUGAGAGGAUAAGGAGACUUAAGAAAAAAGCUGAAUUUCUCGAUGUAUCUUUUAGAGAAAAUGCAGUUUUCUCGCAGCAAGUAUGUUUCAAAACUUUAUUGAAGAAUAAACAUGCAUCCUAGAAUUAUUUGACUGACAAGGACUGUAUUCAUACAUCUUGAUUAGUUUGAACACAUCCAUCUUGAAGAGCUCUCUUCUAUACCUCAAGUUCCAGCCACGUAAUCCAUCCUUGCCAUUAAAAGGUUCCUAGACAGAUAAAUCCUUGGUCCUUGAAAGCAAAUACAGUCAUGAAUAUAAAUCUUUUAAACAGCUAUUUCCCAUCCAUUGGUUAGACCAAAACAUACAUCUCAUCCCAUUGCCUAGUUUAAUUGAAGCACUUGAUUGAAAAAAAAGUUAAAAGACCCUAGGAUUAGUUGUAGCUAAUAAUAAGAUAUCCCUCCAUACUCUUGAUAAUCUGCUAUGUUAUUGGCGGAUUGAUUGUCACUUACCACCAUGUACAUCUUUCCCUGAUAUUUGAUGUAGAAAAUAUUUUGACUCCUGUCCGUGGAAUUGUUGCCAAAAUUUUACAUUAGGUGUUUUCAUAUUUUUAAUCUAACAUAUUUGAUCCUGAUAUUUAAGUUUCUCUCUAAUUUCAUAGUUUGCUAAUGCUUAAACUGGUCUGUAUCUUCUUAUAAUUUUUACUUACUAUUUUCCUUUUGGGUUUCAUUGGUUAAAGCCAUAUCUUCAUACUUCAACAAAUGUCAUGCUUCAAGGUACCCCAUUGAACUCUCUUCUUGGAAAUUCAUUCAUGCUUUGUGUAUAUUAUGUUCUACACCUCUGGGAAAUCAUCAGUUUUCCCCUGUUUUUGCCUCUUUGUCUAGACUUGUUAUAAAGAUGGCCCAAAGGUAUUCUAUUUUAUUGGUCCUGGGUAAACAAAAUUCUUGUGUGUCAACAUUUUCCACUAUUUUUAACAUGUUUUGAUUGUAAGUUCAGCAUGGUCCAUAAAGAGUAUUUAUUUUGUCUUGUAUGGAUUUUUGUUCUUAAACUAUCCUACUACUUUUGUCCCUUUAAUUCUGAGAUGAUGGUACCAUGAAUUCUAGGGUGUGGCUGGGAGUAUGAGCUUGAGAGAGGUGCAAUACUUACAAAUUAACAAAUUUUACGUUUUAUCAAUUUGUAUAUAUACAUAUGGAAAUUAUUAACACAUUAUACUAACAUAUGGAAAUUUUACGUUUUAUCAAUUGCAAAUGGGUUUUCUUCAGGGACAUCAUUUACCUAGAAAGCAAGUAACAUGCAUAUGCAUAAAGGGUAUAUCAUUUGCUGUGGAAUGAGUUCAGACAAUCAUUGUCUUGAUCCAUACAUUUUAAUGAGUAGUUAUAAUUAUCUGAGUACAGGUUGUCACACAAUGGAAUUUUAAUUUAUAUCACAAUUUUUUUCUUUGUUAUGCUAGAAUCUUAUUCAAAAUACGAAUGAGAUAAGACUGGAGUUAUAAUCCUUCAUUUUUUAGGGGCUUGGCUCAUCUAAAUGACACCUCAAGAGGCCUUGAAAAUUUGAUUGGGCUGCAGGCCUAUGAACCGAAUACCGAGAGAGAGCCAAGUUCUGUAUGCUGAUUGACCCAAAAAAUAGUGGCCAUGUUUACUGAAAAUUUGAUUCCAAAAGUGAUAGCAAUAGGCACUAUUGUUAGUCUAUACAAUAUUUUAGUGCAGCUGCCUUUAUCCCCAUCAAUGGUAACACAGACUUCUUGCCUAACAUGAAAUCAAAGCCUUUUGAAUUUGUUGCUUUUUAAACUUGGUUGCAUCUAUAAGUCUUUGUUUAAUUGCCACUUGCAGAUUGAGUUCAGCUGUGGUGAUUCAUGACCAUCAUUUACUAUACUAACACUUGUUCCACAUUUGGACUUCAUAGAUUUUACAGCUUAGCUAUUAUCAAAUUUAACAUUAAAUUUUUUCGAUCCAUCUAAGUAGCAAAAUUCAAAUUCCCUUAUUGAUCAAUUACUAGAAGCGGGUCAAAUUCAAGAAUGAUUGUCUUGAUGAUGGUCAUACCAGUAGUUAUUUAAUUUUUUUUUUCCCUUUUGUUUAUUUAUUUUUAUUUUUUGACAACUCCACUAGUACCUGUCACAUGCUAGUAAAAUUCUAUACACAAAUAUUAGA